GAGCCUUCCAGCUCUCUGGAAAGAUUUCCUAGGAUGAAUGUUAUAAUCUGAGACGGUCUCUUGUAGAAGGAACUGACAGACAGGCAUCCAGAGACACAUGGAAGUGACAUUUCCUGAGCUGUGUGCCACAAAAAAGAAUCCAGCAAGCAAAUGUAGAAACCAAAUGUGAAAUUCCUCCCACAGAUGAAGAAAAAAAAAAAAAAAGGAAAAAAGAGCAAAACCAUAUUAGCAUCUUUUGUGGCAGUCAAGGGAAAGGCAAGGAGUUUUUAUUGUUUCAGCACAGCAAAUUCCGUGCCAAUGUCAACAUAAAGACAGGAGCAUUUCCAGUUUAUGACAGGUCUGACAGUCAUGCUUCCAGUGCUUCUAGCUGGAAGUUGAACCAGUGGGCCAGUCCAGAUGUUUUUGCAAUGAAUGCAUCGAUUGAAGAAAGAAAACAUAUAUCUUGGACAUUAAACGGGAGCCUGGAAAGCAAACACCUCACAUGAGAUAUAAACCGGAAAAUUACACCAUUACAGGACAAACUGAUUCAUGGUAUCUCAGAGGAGAAGGAGUAGGCACUAACUAUCCAGAAGGCUAAACCAUUCUGAAUUUGGUAGCCAUCUAGAAUUGUGCAAUGAAGUUGAAAAUGGGGUAGAAUAUAAAACAGAAAGGGAAAUGGGGCAAUCUUAAGUAGAAUUUGCUGCAUCUAGACACAUUAGACUGGACACACAUUUAUGCAAGUAGUCUUUGGUAUCAUAACAGAUAUUAUCAAGAUUUCAUUUCACAGAUUACAUUAAGUUUCUAAUUCAUCAUGAGAAAGAGAAGUUUAUAGGAAGGCAUAACAAAAAGUUCUGCUUCCUAGAUUUUCACUGGUCCUUUAUAUGCUCAGAGAAUAUUCAAAGGAGACUAACAGAAUUCAGUUCCCACUGAAUUCCAGUCAACUCUGACAUUGCAAAGUUUAUUUCAAAAGAAAAUAAAAAUCCCCACUCCAGCA
rnacentral:lncRNA from 1 species